rnacentral:rRNA from 1 species
AUUGAACGCUGGCGGCAGGCCUAACACAUGCAAGUCGAGCGAGCGGCGGACGGGUGAGUACUGUCUGGGAAACUGCCUGAUGGAGGGCUAUAACUACUGGAAACGGUAGCUAAUACCGCAUACCAUCCGAUGUGCCCAGAUGUGAUUAGCUCUGAGGUGGGGUAAUGGCUCACCUAGGCGACGAUCCCUCGCUGGUCUGAGAGGAUGACCAGCAAGACUGGAACUGAGACACGGUCCCGACUCCUACGGGAGGCAGCAGUGGGGAAUCGUGGACAAUGGGCGAAAGCCGGAUCCAGCCAUGCCGCGUGUGUGAAGAAGGUCUUCGGAUUGUAAAGCACUUUAAGUUGGGAGGGGUACCAACAGAAAAGCACCGGCUAACUUCGUGCCAGCAGCCGCGGUAAUAC